rnacentral:rRNA from 1 species
AUGAAGUCGGAAUUGCUAGUAAUCGCGGAUCAGCAUGCCGCGGUGAAUACGUUCCCGGGCCUUGUACACACCGCCCGUCACACCAUGGGAGCCGGUAAUACCCGAAGUCAGUAGUCCAACCUCGUGAGGACGCUGCCGUAGGUAGGAUUGGCGACUGGGGUGAAGUCGUAACAAGGUAAC